UACGUAGGGUGCGAGCGUUAAUCGGAAUUACUGGGCGUAAAGCGUGCGCAGGCGGUUUUGUAAGCCAGAUGUGAAAGCCCCGGGCUUAACCUGGGAAUGGCAUUUGGGACUGCAAGGCUAGAGUGCGGCAGAGGAGACUGGAAUUCCUGGUGUAGCAGUGAAAUGCGUAGAUAUCAGGAGGAAUACCGAUGGCGAAGGCAGGUCUCUGGGCUGACACUGACGCUCAUGCACGAAAGCGUGGGGAGCGAACAGG
rnacentral:rRNA from 1 species